CUCAGGGAAAUCAGAAGACACAUAUAUCAGACCAGUGUUCUACAAAGCUAUACAUUCUGCAGCAGAGAGAGAAAUCUGUCCAUGUUCCAGGAGGAGCCUGGAGAGAAGCUGGGUGUGAAGGGUCACUGUUUUGGCCUGGGUGAACUUGGCCACAGAAAGGACGCCACGGAACACCGAGAGUUUCGGUUCUUGCCAAUGUCAAAGCCACAAAGAGGUCAGCAGUAGAGAAGAUGAGGUCAUUCCACAGCAGGUCUGGAAAAUGCUGUUUAAGUGGAAGACCAGGGAGAUGGCUCACUGAGAUAAUUCUCUGAAUAUCCACCAAAACUGUUCAUGGACUAGCAUGUAUUCUUCCUUAUGGCUCAGUGUAGAUGAACCACAAUUUGUCUGACCAGUUUCUGUUGGAAGGCAUCAGUGUUUGUUCUCAAUGAACAUUUGUGUACAAGUUUUUGUGUGAAGGCUUGCUGCUACUGAUUUGGAGGCUGAAGAAGCCAUUAAGAGAGCAGGCUCAGAUCCAGGUAGACUGUCCUCCAACCUGACUCUACAAUGCUGUAGCAGCCGUAUCACUGCCAACAAAUAGCAAGGCUAGAUCCACAUUUCCUCAUAUAAGAGGGGAACUGACACCUACUGAUAAGAGCCAAUCGGAACCACGGUCGAAUUCCUUCAGAUUGGACCUGCCAACAAACUGCUCAGCCCUCCAGAUGUUACCGCUUUGUGAGAAAUAAGAACUCAAUAAACCAGGCUCACCCUUCCUCCUGGGGUGAACACAAAGACCGUCAGAUAUGGAAAAUCACGGCUCAGCACCGUGAACAAUGCACUCAAGUGAGGGGUUGGGGCCCGUCUUAUUUGUCUUGGUGGGACAGACAGCCAUGGAGUCUGAUGCAAGAAUUUUAGUUGGCAACCGCUCAAACUCUGACUAUACAUUGCAAUUUUUCAACCAAAGGAAACCUGGGAGCUGGGAAAAAUAGCCUUUUCACAACAGGCAUGAGACACUCUUGCAAAGGGUUCUGUAUGUAUCUCACAUGAUGUUAUCAUGUGACCGUUUGGCCUUCUGUGUUUUCCAGAUUUCAUCCUCUUGUGUUAUGUAACAAAUCAGAAAGAUGCAGCAGUAAACAGCCCUACGGCACUUCCGAUUCGUCGAUGAAUAAUCUCCAGUAAGCACUUGCUGUUCCGGGAAUAGAACAAAAUGAGCUAGAGUGAAUUAGUUCUUGUCCUCAGACCAGCGUGUCCCAAUCUUUCUUAACACAGGACACACUUGUGACCUUGCUUUGGGAAAAAGAAAAAGAAAUAAAAA